rnacentral:tRNA from 1 species
GCAGCCGUGGUGUAGCCUGGUUAACACGUCUCCCUGUCACGGAGAAGAUCGUGGGUUCAAAUCCCAUCGGCUGCG